rnacentral:rRNA from 1 species
UACGGGGGGAGCAAGCGUUGUUCGGAUUUACUGGGCGUAAAGGGCGCGUAGGCGGUCAGCACAAGUCAGUUGUGAAAUCUCCGGGCUUAACUCGGAAAGGUCAACUGAUACUGUGCGACUAGAGUGCGGAAGGGGCUACUGGAAUUCUCGGUGUAGCGGUGAAAUGCGUAGAUAUCGAGAGGAACACCUGCGGCGAAGGCGGGUAGCUGGGCCGACACUGACGCUGAGGCGCGAAAGCCAGGGGAGCAAACGGG